GUGGACUGCAGAAGUAUUUAAAUGAGCAAGGUUUUAAUAUUGUUGGAUAUGGCUGCACAACUUGUAUUGGGAAUUCUGGAGAUUUGGAUGAAUCAGUUUCUUCUGCUAUAUCAGAAAAUGACAUUGUUGCUGCUGCCGUACUCUCUGGAAAUCGAAACUUUGAGGGGCGUGUUCAUCCUUUGACGAGAGCUAACUACCUUGCUUCACCUCCUUUAGUGGUUGCCUAUGCUCUUGCUGGC
rnacentral:misc_RNA from 1 species